CUUUUCUUCCGCACGGUUGGAGGAGGUCGGCUGGUUAUCGGGAGUUGGAGGGCUGAGGUCGGGAGGGUGGUGUGUACAGAGCUCUAGGACACCAGGCCAGUCGCGGGUUUUGGGCCGAGGCCUGGGUUACAAGCAGCAAGUGCGCGGUUGGGGCCACUGCGAGGCCGUUUUAGAAAACUGUUUAAAACAAAGAGCAAUUGAUGGAUAAAUCAGGAAUAGAUUCUCUUGACCAUGUGACAUCUGAUGCUGUGGAACUUGCAAAUCGAAGGUGAGUGGAUUCAAUCAUGUUUAUUGUAUCUGAAUUAUGAGAAACUAUUGUAUAUAAUGAGUGACAGUAAAGAUAAUUUUCAGGAAUUGGGAAAGAAGGAAAACUAGAUUUCACUGACCUUCCAAGUUUAUCUAGUUACAUAGAUUGAUAUAAUAGCAUUGCAAAUACUUUAAAUUCAAAAUGUGAAUAUAUUAUGGGACACAUUCGUCGAGAAAAAAUGUAUUCUUUGGGUCAUAUUAGCAUCUCUUCCAGACUACAUCCUCCGGUUCG
rnacentral:lncRNA from 1 species